rnacentral:rRNA from 1 species
UACGGGGGGGGGCAAGCGUUGUUCGGAAUUACUGGGCGUAAAGGGCCAGUAGGCGGCCAACUAAGUCGGGUGUGAAAUCCCCAGGCUCAACCUGGGAACUGCAUCCGAUACUGGAUGGCUUGAAUUCGGGAGAGGGAUGCAGAAUUCCAGGUGUAGCGGUGAAAUGCGUAGAUAUCGGGAGGAACACCAGUGGCGAAGGCGACUACCUGGCCUGUUUCUUGACGCUGAGGCGCGAAAGCUAGGGGAGCAAACGGG